UACGUAGGGGGCAAGCGUUAUCCGGAUUUACUGGGUGUAAAGGGAGCGUAGACGGCAGCGCAAGUCUGGAGUGAAAUGCCGGGGCCCAACCCCGGAACUGCUUUGGAAACUGUGCAGCUCGAGUGCAGGAGAGGUAAGCGGAAUUCCUAGUGUAGCGGUGAAAUGCGUAGAUAUUAGGAGGAACACCAGUGGCGAAGGCAGCUUACUGGACUGUAACUGACGUUGAGGCUCGAAAGCGUGGGGAGCAAACAGG
rnacentral:rRNA from 1 species